rnacentral:rRNA from 1 species
CAGUAGCCGCGGUAAUACGAAGGUCCCGAGCGUUGUUCGGAAUCACUGGGCGUAAAGGGAGCGUAGGCGGCGUGGUAAGUCAGAUGUGAAAUCCCGGGGCUCAACCCCGGAACUGCAUCCGAUACUGCCAUGCUAGAGGAUUGGAGAGGUAGCUGGAAUUCUUGGUGUAGCAGUGAAAUGCGUGGAGAUCAAGAGGAACACUCGUGGCGAAAGCGAGCUACUGGACAAUAACUGACGCUGAGGCUCGAAGGCCAGGGUAGCGAAAGGGAUUAGAUACCCGAGUAGUCCCUGUCUCUUAUAC